UUCCCCCAGUAGCGGCGAGCGAACGGGGAGCAGCCCAGAGCCUGAAUCAGUGUGUGUGUUAGUGGAAGCGUCUGGAAAGGCGCGCGAUACAGGGUGACAGCCCCGUACACAAAAAUGCACAUUACUGUGAGCUCGAUGAGUAGGGCGGGACACGUGGUAUCCUGUCUGAAUAUGGGGGGACCAUCCUCCAAGGCUAAAUACUCCUGACUGACCGAUAGUGAACCAGUACCGUGAGGGAAAGGCGAAAAGGAACCCGGCGAGGGGAGUGAAAAAGAACCUGAAACCGUGUACGUACAAGCAGUGGGAGCACAGAGCAAUCUGUGUGACUGCGUACCUUUUGUAUAAUGGGUCAGCGACUUAUAUUCUGUAGCAAGGUUAACCGAAUAGGGGAGCCGAAGGGAAACCGAGUCUUAACUGGGCGUUAAGUUGCAGGGUAUAGACCCGAAACCCGGUGAUCUAGCCAUGGGCAGGUUGAAGGUUGGGUAACACUAACUGGAGGACCGAACCGACUAAUGUUGAAAAAUUAGCGGAUGACUUGUGGCUGGGGGUGAAAGGCCAAUCAAACCGGGAGAUAGCUGGUUCUCCCCGAAAGCUAUUUAGGUAGCGCCUCGUGAAUUCAUCUCCGGGGGUAGAGCACUGUUUCGGCAAGGGGGUCAUCCCGACUUACCAACCCGAUGCAAACUGCGAAUACCGGAGAAUGUUAUCACGGGAGACACACGGCGGGUGCUAACGUCCGUCGUGAAGAGGGAAACAACCCAGACCGCCAGCUAAGGUCCCAAAGUCAUGGUUAAGUGGGAAACGAUGUGGGAAGGCCCAGACAGCCAGGAUGUUGGCUUAGAAGCAGCCAUCAUUUAAAGAAAGCGUAAUAGCUCACUGGUCGAGUCGGCCUGCGCGGAAGAUGUAACGGGGCUAAACCAUGCACCGAAGCUGCGGCAGCGACGCUGAUGCGUUGUUGGGUAGGGGAGCGUUCUGUAAGCCUGCGAAGGUGUGCUGUGAGGCAUGCUGGAGGUAUCAGAAGUGCGAAUGCUGACAUAAGUAACGAUAAAGCGGGUGAAAAGCCCGCUCGCCGGAAGACCAAGGGUUCCUGUCCAACGUUAAUCGGGGCAGGGUGAGUCGACCCCUAAGGCGAGGCCGAAAGGCGUAGUCGAUGGGAAACAGGUUAAUAUUCCUGUACUUGGUGUUACUGCGAAGGGGGGACGGAGAAGGCUAUGUUGGCCGGGCGACGGUUGUCCCGGUUUAAGCGUGUAGGCUGGUUUUCCAGGCAAAUCCGGAAAAUCAAGGCUGAGGCGUGAUGACGAGGCACUACGGUGCUGAAGCAACAAAUGCCCUGCUUCCAGGAAAAGCCUCUAAGCAUCAGGUAACAUCAAAUCGUACCCCAAACCGACACAGGUGGUCAGGUAGAGAAUACCAAGGCGCUUGAGAGAACUCGGGUGAAGGAACUAGGCAAAAUGGUGCCGUAACUUCGGGAGAAGGCACGCUGAUAUGUAGGUGAAGUCCCUCGCGGAUGGAGCUGAAAUCAGUCGAAGAUACCAGCUGGCUGCAACUGUUUAUUAAAAACACAGCACUGUGCAAACACGAAAGUGGACGUAUACGGUGUGACGCCUGCCCGGUGCCGGAAGGUUAAUUGAUGGGGUCAGCGCAAGCGAAGCUCUUGAUCGAAGCCCCGGUAAACGGCGGCCGUAACUAUAACGGUCCUAAGGUAGCGAAAUUCCUUGUCGGGUAAGUUCCGACCUGCACGAAUGGCGUAAUGAUGGCCAGGCUGUCUCCACCCGAGACUCAGUGAAAUUGAACUCGCUGUGAAGAUGCAGUGUACCCGCGGCAAGACGGAAAGACCCCGUGAACCUUUACUAUAGCUUGACACUGAACAUUGAGCCUUGAUGUGUAGGAUAGGUGGGAGGCUUUGAAGUGUGGACGCCAGUCUGCAUGGAGCCGACCUUGAAAUACCACCCUUUAAUGUUUGAUGUUCUAACGUUGACCCGUAAUCCGGGUUGCGGACAGUGUCUGGUGGGUAGUUUGACUGGGGCGGUCUCCUCCUAAAGAGUAACGGAGGAGCACGAAGGUUGGCUAAUCCUGGUCGGACAUCAGGAGGUUAGUGCAAUGGCAUAAGCCAGCUUGACUGCGAGCGUGACGGCGCGAGCAGGUGCGAAAGCAGGUCAUAGUGAUCCGGUGGUUCUGAAUGGAAGGGCCAUCGCUCAACGGAUAAAAGGUACUCCGGGGAUAACAGGCUGAUACCGCCCAAGAGUUCAUAUCGACGGCGGUGUUUGGCACCUCGAUGUCGGCUCAUCACAUCCUGGGGCUGAAGUAGGUCCCAAGGGUAUGGCUGUUCGCCAUUUAAAGUGGUACGCGAGCUGGGUUUAGAACGUCGUGAGACAGUUCGGUCCCUAUCUGCCGUGGGCGCUGGAGAACUGAGGGGGGCUGCUCCUAGUACGAGAGGACCGGAGUGGACGCAUCACUGGUGUUCGGGUUGUCAUGCCAAUGGCACUGCCCGGUAGCUAAAUGCGGAAGAGAUAAGUGCUGAAAGCAUCUAAGCACGAAACUUGCCCCGAGAUGAGUUCUCCCUGACCCUUUAAGGGUCCUGAAGGAACGUUGAAGACGACGACGUUGAUAGGCCGGGUGUGUAAGCGCAGCGAUGCGUUGAGCUAACCGGUACUAAUGAACCGUGAGGCUUAACCU
rnacentral:rRNA from 1 species